AUUGAACGCUGGCGGCAUGCUUUACACAUGCAAGUCGAACGGUAACAGGCCGCAAGGUGCUGACGAGUGGCGAACGGGUGAGUAAUGCAUCGGAACGUGCCCAGUCGUGGGGGAUAACGCAGCGAAAGCUGCGCUAAUACCGCAUACGAUCUAUGGAUGAAAGCGGGGGACCGUAAGGCCUCGCGCGAUUGGAGCGGCCGAUGUCAGAGUAGGUAGUUGGUGGGGUAAAGGCUGACCAAGCCAACGAUCUGUAGCUGGUCUGAGAGGACGACCAGCCACACUGGGACUGAGACACGGCCCAGACUCCUACGGGAGGCAGCAGUGGGGAAUUUUGGACAAUGGGCGCAAGCCUGAUCCAGCAAUGCCGCGUGCAGGAAGAAGGCCUUCGGGUUGUAAACUGCUUUUGUACGGAACGAAACGGUCCUGGUUAAUACCCGGGGCUAAUGACGGUACCGUAAGAAUAAGCACCGGCUAACUACGUGCCAGCCGCCGCAGUAAGAC
rnacentral:rRNA from 1 species